rnacentral:rRNA from 1 species
AAGACCCCAUGGAGCUUUAAACCCAAUUAUAUCUCUAACCACUAUAACCAUUUAACCACUUAGAACUUAUAUACUUGGUUUUAGGUUGGGGCGACCACGGAGCACAACCAAACCUCCACGAUGAACGGAACAACCCCCUUAUCUGAGAAUUACACUUCUAAGAAUUAGCACACUAACAUAAAAUGACCCAUUAUUGAUCAACGAACCAAGUUACCCUGGGGAUAACAGCGCAAUCCAUUUUAAGAGCCCCUAUCGACAAAUGGGUUUACGACCUCGAUGUUGGAUCAGGAUAUCCCAGUGGUGCAGCAGCUGCUAAAGGUUCGUUUGUUCAACGAUUAAAAUCCU